rnacentral:rRNA from 1 species
AUGCGUGAUCAGAUCGGCAUCGACCUGGACGGCUUCCCACUCGACCACGAGUUCCCGGAUGACUACGGGCUAGAGGAAGAGGAUGAGUGCGACAUCGAAGUGGAGCCCUUAUUCGAGGACGAGCUCGCCAACCAAGCCGCCGGUCCUAAGCUGAAGCGCAAGAGCAAGCGCACGAAGGCAUACAUGGCGGCCGAGGACAAGCUUCUUUGCGAGUGUUGGUGAGACAUUGGACAAGACCCCAAGACGGGCGCCGAACAAAAGCAUUCAACCUUUUGGAUUCGUGUCCACCGAGAGUUUCAUGAGCGCAAGAAGUUUCCGCCUUACCAACUUGUGAGCACGAGCGGGUGGGUGUCCAUUUCCAAGUGA